ensembl:lncRNA
CUCUGGGACGGGGCAGGGGCUGUGGGCCCACAGCGAGGCCGGCUGUGCAGCUGGCUCUGAUCAAAGCCUUGCAGCACUCGCCGCGCCCGACAGCCCUGUUUACAUUAACUGGCGGGGAGUGGGUUCGGGUGGCAUUUGCUAACCUGGAUGUCGGUCCCAUCUGCCCGGGUAGCUUUGCUGCCUCCAGCCACAGCCACCUAAAUGCACUGGAAACUCCCUCCCUCUGGAGUGGUUGUUUUGCUAACUCUGACUCCCUGGGAGAUCUCGUUCACAGCAAAGUGUUGUUUCCUUUUUCCUUCUUCUAUAUGGGUGUGUAUGAGUGUGGCAGUGGGAGGCUGCCAAGCACAGGGGGACGUGGUCUUUGCCGAGCAAUUGGGAUAACACCAGCACACGAGAUAGAAGUUCAGGAAGUACUACCCUGCAAAACCCUUCACGCAGCCUUAACGUGAGGAAUGAUCUGCAAUUGGUGGGAAGUCGGGGGACUUACAGCAAGGUGCAGAGCUGAGCUGGAUCUGCUGAUGGAGUCAGUCUCUGGGAGGUGUGUGUACACAAAACAUGGGUCAUGCAGGAGGCCAGGGAGUGGUGCAGUGUUUGUAUGGGGCUUCGAGGUGCUGGGGGAAAUGCUGAGAGGGAUUUGGGAGCUGCUGCGGUGCUGGAGGUCAUCUCAUAGGAAAUGACUACCAUGAAUUGGUGUUCCUUGGGAUUAAGAGGUCGUGCUGUGAUGCCCAAGCAGUGUGAACACCAGCAGCCUUGCUGCAGAAUUUCUCUUUGGUGAUGGGGAAGUGACGCGUGGGGACAUUGAGAGCAUGGUCGUCACUGCUGCUGGUGUGGUGUUUUGGCCUUGGAGAAAAUGGUACUCAUACAGUGCUGCUCUCAGCUUUCUGCCUGCAGCAAAGGGAACAAGUGCUUUAUAAAGUCCCUGCUUUGGUCCCAGCUUCUUCAAGUGACCUUUGUGUGUCUGCUUACAUUUGGUAAAAUGGAGGCAGUAAUGUCCAAUUGCUUUUUAGAAUCAUAGAAUAUCCCGAAUUGAGAGGAACCCAUAAGGAUCAUUAAGUCCAACUCCUAGCCAGUCUCUUUGAGGAAACCAGAGUUUUCUCGUGUGUGAGAGUGCAAGAGAAAGCAAACCCACAUGGGAAGGAGCUACGCUUUGAGGAACAUCCUGAUUGCAGAAGGACGCAAGGCUCUGUUAAAGCCCAGGGCCAGGUUAGAAGCUCACGGUGUGAAACUGCCUUAAUGCAGAUAAUCAUGGAUGAAAAGGCAGCAUAGGGUGGGAAGCAGCCUGACAAGAAGGCUGUAAUGAUGUAACGGUAAUAUGACUGGGCCAGAAGGAAGUGGUAUUAUUGGGCUAAAUUCUUUCUACUUUGAAGAGGCCAAAGCCACUUCUCACAUGAUUGGAUUCCACCUCCAGGGUCUUGAAUUUGCCAGACAGCAAACACACCAAAGGGACCUGGCUUUGCCUGUUGGACGCACAGCACCCACCAAUGAGUGGGUGACAAACUGCACGUUUCCAGGGCUGUGGUUUUCUGGGCAUCUGCAGCUGCCCGUCACUCUUGCAAACUGUCGCCGUUGAUUUUGCAGAACGUCAUCCGUCGUGUUUCCUCACGCUCCUUGGAAUGCACUAAAUAACCAAAAGAGCAGCUGACAAAAUAAAUGAGCAAAGUGGGGUUUUUUGUUGUUGGGUUUUUUUGUUUUUUGUUUUUUUCUUUUUUCAGAGACAUUGCACAAAGGGCAGGAUGGGCUGUUUGGGACGUGCCACUUCUGCCCAUUUCAAACGCAGACUUCAUCAGGGCAGCUGGCAGAAGGGAUGGCUCCAGUCCUUCGUGCUCACAGACGGUUUGUUCCGGACCUGGCUCUGGCUGAACCCUGGUGAACUUCCCCCGCAUCCCCUUCCCCGCCGGAGAGCUUGCAGCCAUGAACUUCCCGUGCCUGACCCAAGCAUCUCCGAGAGGUGUGAUCUGAGCUGCAGCCGGAGGAAGGAGAUGGUCGACCCGCCCCUGGCUCCCGCUCAGCCUCCCUAAUCAGUGCAGGAAUGUCUCUGGAUGUGAGUGCUCCCGGCUGAACUGCUCUGUGCACCACUUGGCAUGGGCCGUGCAGCAGACAUAUAUUUCAGUGGAGGUGGCAAAGAGUAAGGGGGAAAUGUGGAAUGAUGCAGGAGCUGUAUAAUGGAAUGGAACAAAAUUUCUGGUACAUACGUAUGUUUAUAUAUAACAUCAUGCAGAAAGACCCUAUGCAAGGAGUAUGGAAGAGAGGAUGGAUCUUGCUGCUCAUGCCCCAGACCAGCCUCCUCCUUGUUGCAGACUGUAAUAAGCCAUCGCUGGAGGAUGGUAGAGAGGUUCUUUGAAAAUCUCUCCAAGAUGCUUCCAAUAAAAGAAUUGUGAAACUAUUCCCAUCGGUGGCCUGUCCUCUACCCACAACAGUGACAGAGAAGACUGUUUGAUUUCCAUCAGCAGAAUAAUAUGAGUGUGGACGCCACUGCCACAAAUUUAAGAAGGAUCUCCAGUUGCUGCUUGCCAAAGAAACAGUGCAUGGUCUGGGGGUUUUCAGCCCUCAAGUGGAGAUGCCGCUGGUGUGAUGACAGCUUGAGCAGCAUGAAGCUCCAGAAGAGCUUGAACAGAAAGGGCUGUGUCUGCAAAGAGCAGAAUCACAGAAUCACAGAAUGGCCCGGGUUGGAAGGGACCUCCAGGAUCAUGAAGCUCCAAACCCAGCAGGAAAUACAACAAUAUCUUCCUAAAAUAAGGCAUUAUAAGUCUCUGUCAGCUCCCUCAAGUUGGCUUAGAAAUAGCUUAUGGACCCAUUUCCCCCAAAGAUCUGUGGAGGAUGGAUGAAUGGGAAGCAUCUGUAGGUGAGGAACUGUGUUACACAGGAAACAUUGCUCUGUCUUUAUGCUCAGCCUUUUUUUUUCUUACAUUGCAGAUCUGAAAAGCCAUAAAGAAAAGUAUAAUUUGCCUGAUUCUUCUGGCUAGCUGGGAGAAUGAAUGAGCCCCACUGGUUCCUGAGUAAGAUAGAGACAGAAAGUGGAGCUGAGCCUACUGAAGAACGAAGGACAGCCAACAUGUACUAGGUGCUCAUGCUUGAUGCCUGCAGGCCAGACUUUCUCUUGCAUGUUUAAAUUGCCGUGGCUUUGAAGGAGGAGCUGUGCUGUGCACUGUCCCAGCACCCACCAGGACGUCUAUUGGGACAGCUGCUCUCCUAUCCGCCCACCAAAUGGCUGAAUUCUCCAGCAAGGACAAAGACCUUAUUUAUGCUCAUGCCUCUCAAAGUACAUAUAUUUUAGUCCUGGAGGAUUUACUGGCAAUAAAGUUUUCUUCUGAGAUUCCUAAAUCACGAGGUACUUAGGCUCUGCAGACCAUGAUGCCCAUGGACAAUAUUUGCUCUGUAGCUUGACACAUCUUUCUGCCUUAGAAUAACAGAAAAACAUGCAGCCAGGACCUGCCCAGCUGCGAGGACUCUAAAUCACCUGCUUUUUCUUUGUUUCCAGAGGGGCAGGUGCAGCUCAGAUUAUCUGCAAGCUAUUUUAUGACUUAACAACACGGGCUUUAAUGCAGUUAGAGAUGCCUUUAUUCAUUCUUACACUCCUGAGUAUUUUUGUGUAAACAUUUUUCAUCUGUGGCAAGCCAGUUUGUUUGUUGUGUUUUGUCAUGUCAGAGCAGACUGUGAUUA